GAUGAACGCUGGCGGCGUGCUUAACACAUGCAAGUCGAACGAAGCACCUCUCCCGAAGAUUGACACAGCUUGCUGUAGAUUGAUUCAUUUGAGGUGACUGAGUGGCGGACGGGUGAGUAACGCGUGGGUAACCUGCCUCAUAGAGGGGGACAACAGUUGGAAACGACUGCUAAUACCGCAUAGUAAGAAGAAUUCGCAUGUUUUCUUCUUGAAAGAUUUAUCGCUAUGAGAUGGACCCGCGUCUGAUUAGCUAGUUGGUAAGGUAACGGCUUACCAAGGCGACGAUCCGUAGCCGGCUUGAGAGAGUGAACGGCCACAUUGGGACUGAGACACGGCCCAAACUCCUACGGGAGGCAGCAGUGGGGAAUAUUGCACAAUGGGGGAAACCCUGAUGCAGCGACGCCGCGUGAGUGAAGAAGUAUUUCGGUAUGUAAAGCUCUAUCAGCAGGGAAGAUAAUGACGGUACCUGACUAAGAAGCCCCGGCUAACUACGUG
rnacentral:rRNA from 1 species